UACGUAGGGUGCAAGCGUUGUCCGGAAUUAUUGGGCGUAAAGAGCUCGUAGGCGGCUUGUCGCGUCGGCUGUGAAAACCUGGGGCUCAACCCCGGGCCUGCAGCCGAUACGGGCAAGCUAGAGUUCGGUAGGGGAGACUGGAAUUCCUGGUGUAGCGGUGAAAUGCGCAGAUAUCAGGAGGAACACCAAUGGCGAAGGCAGCUCGCUGGAACGGAACUGACGCUGAGGCGCGAAAGCGUGGGGAGCGAACAGG
rnacentral:rRNA from 1 species